CCUACGGGAGACAGCAGUGAGGAAUAUUGGUCAAUGGACGAGAGGCUGAACCAGCCAAGUCGCGUGAGGGAAGACGGCCCUACGGGUUGUAAACCUCUUUUGUCUGGGAACAAAAAGAGUCACGUGUGACUCUUUGAGAGUACCCGAAGAAAAAGCAUCGGCUAACUCCGUGCCAGCAGCCGCGGUAAUACGGAGGAUGCGAGCGUUAUCCGGAUUUAUUGGGUUUAAAGGGUGCGUAGGUGGUUUUUUAAGUCAGCGGUGAAAGUUUGUGGCUCAACCAUAAAAUUGCCGUUGAAACUGGAAGUCUUGAGUGUGUUUGAGGUAGGCGGAAUGCGUGGUGUAGCGGUGAAAUGCAUAGAUACCACGAAGAACUCCGAUUGCGAAGGCAGCUUACUAAGCCAUAACUGACACUGAAGCACGAAAGCGUGGGGAUCAAACAGGAUUAGAUACCCCAGUAGUC
rnacentral:rRNA from 1 species